CCCACCGCUCUGAAGGUAGCAGGAUGGAAAUUUUGGAUUCACCACACUCAGGUUGACCUCCUCAUACUCCGGGAGACAGGUCCAGCCCAGGAGCGGACAGGUGGUCUGGGGGAAGGCCUCCGAGAAGAUGUUCCUCCGCCCCAGAUGCCAUUCUGCCCUGGGAAUUGUCUCCACUCCAAAAUCCAUCUAGAGAGCAUCUGGAAACCCUGGGCCCAGGUUCGGUUUGGCAGACGGGAUAUCAUUCAGGUCUUGUUCACCUCCAAGAAGAGGAACAGGAUCCACAGAGGCAGCAAAAUCCAUCCUUGGGCCAGACAGCCAACCCCUCACAGAUCUGGCCCAAAUAGAAGCCUACCUCCCAAGUACCCAACCCAAUUGGGACCCGAACACUGAUCAAGAUAAUCUCUACUAGUAUCGCCGAUCUCUACUUCAGGGCCUCUGCGGAGCAGCCAAAAAGCCAACUACUCUGUCUAAGCUCUUUGCAGGCAAUCCAGAGGCUGAGAGAACAGACCUGACAGCCAAUCA